AUGAUUAGUUCUGGCCAAAAGAACAUUAGCAGUAAUGACGCAAGCCAGCAACAUUUGCAGAUUUUCAAUUCUCUCCCCUUUUUUAGGAGGCGGAGCCACGGUUGGAAGGGAGCCUGUAUCCUGAGUCAAGACUUAGAAGAAAUCCACCUGGGAAAGCCACCUAACCAGCAUCAGAAUGCAAAGUGGACUAGAAACAAAACAGCGGUUUCUUCAACUUCCAAGGACAAAGGUGUAGUCAGAAAAUGUGAAUUGGACUUGCCCUAUAUCUGCCGAUCUGUCUCAUCCUUGAGUUCUUGUGACAUGGAAACCUUACCCUUGGACUAAGAUCAAGAAACUCAGAGCAAAUGACAAGAAGAUUUUGAGUGAGGUCUUCUUCAGCUCUGAGGAACACUAUGUUACUCUCACCAAAAGACAUGCUUCCCUCACCGCAGGCCUGGGGGCUGUAGCUGGGCACUGCCAGUGGAAACCCAGAAAGGUGGAAGUCCCUGGAGCUCUGCAGAAAGCCAGGCCCCCAGCUCUUUCCCCUUGGCUUUAUGCCAAACUCACAAAUUCCUUAACUAAAACAUCCGUUACCAACACAAA
rnacentral:lncRNA from 12 species